AGUGAACGCUGGCGGUAGGCCUAACACAUGCAAGUCGAACGGAAGGACAGUAAGAGUGUGCUCCUACGGUUGGCGAGUGGCGGACGGGUAAGGAAUACAUCGGCAUCUUCUUAUUCGGGGGUGAUUACGGAGGGAAACUUACGCUAAUACCGCAUACGACGUACGGGUGAGAUCAGGGGAUCUUCGGAGCCUGCGCGACUCAAUGAGCCGAUGCCGCAUUAGCUAGUUGGCGGGGUAAAGGCCCACCAAGGCGACGAUCCGUAGCUGGGCUGAGAGGAUGAUCAGCCACACUGGAACUGAGACACGGUCCAGACUCCUACGGGAGGCAGCAGUGGGGAAUAUUGGACAAUGGGCGCAAGCCUGAUCCAGCCAUACCGCGUGGGUGAAGAAGGCCUUCGGGUUGUAAAGCCCUUUUGUUGGGAAAGAAAAGCAGCAGGUUAAUCCCCCGCUGUUCUGACGGUACCCAAAGAAUAAGCACCGGCUAACUUCGUG
rnacentral:rRNA from 1 species